GAACUCAAAAGAGGUGUAGGAGGAGAGAAGCUCAAUUAUCACCCUGGUCUCCUGGAGUAUCCCAGGCACAGUCCCAAGAGUUCAGCUUUUCAUACUCGAGUUCCUGGGUCCUGAAGGCCUUUUUGGGGAAAGUACUGAUGUUCGUGUCAAGGUUGGGAAGAAAGGGUUUGGGAGGAACCAAGCAACAGGGAGGCAAAGAGAAGACAUCAACAAGCGAGGCAAGAACUUUCCACAGGCUCACACUGGAUACAGGACCAGAGACAAGAAGCUGGCGAAGCCUAUAUGGGUUCCCGAUGUCACAUCGCAGCUACCGCAUUGGAGGGUUAAGAGCCGCUGACAAAUCUCUUUCGGGAAGGGAAGAAGAGUUCCAAACAAAAGAUCUACUACCCUGAGAAGCGGUGAAGUGCUCCUGGGGCCCACCAAGGCCACACAAGUCAAGGAGUGGAUGGCCUUGCCCCAGCUAUGGCUCAGAUCACCUUUGCAGGAUGACAUCUUGUUGGGAGAUGGUCAUCAGAGACAGGGCCAUGGAAGACGCUGUCAGGAGGAGGCACAGAGGAAAGGCUAUGGGAGCACAAAGCAAGAAAGUGGCCUUCUGCAAGCCAGGAAGAGAGGCCUCCCCAGAAACCAACUCUACCAGCACAUUGAUCUUGGACUUUUGGCCUCUAGAACAUUGAGAAAAUAAAAGUCUGCUGUUAAACCACCCAACCUUUGGUAUCUUUCUAUGGCAGCCUGAGCUGACUAACACCCUUGGUAGGUGGGCAGCAUUCACCUUAUUGGGCUACAUGAUGAGAAGUUAAAGUAACUUUAGCAAUAGGCACCAUUUGAUUUCAUUGUAUAGAUAUUGUGUCUUUUGCACUGAUUUUGCCUUUUUUAGUUGUGUGUAUAUUGAUGCCUGGGCCUAGCAUUACAAGACUAGUCGAAAUGGGAAG
rnacentral:lncRNA from 1 species